GUCAACUGAAGCUUCUUCCCAGCUGACAGACCCUGAGCUAAUUGUCUUUAAUGAGCAGCUGGGCCCGGUUUCCUGGGAUUUGCAUUUGCAGAUAUUCGGGGCAGCAGCACCUCUGUGGAUGGCAGCCAGACUGGCCUUCCAGGGGGUGAUUAUUCCGGCAGCUGAGUAUCUUCCAGAUUUUCCAAUAGGCCAAAGAGAAAGUCUCCAACGAUGCUGUUAACAUCUUUUGAACACCCGUGGAUCGCGUGUGUGCUCUCCCAGUCUCUUUUGCUCUCUCUCUCACCUGGACAAAGCUGAUCUUGGACCCAGAACUUCUACAGACAAUGGGAAGAUCAUUCCCUCUCUGUCCAGUUCUUGGGAUGGCUGCAUCAAGUAUGGAGGUGCUGACGGUGGAGCCUUUCUGUAAUGAGCAUCCGCUAUGUUCCUGCUCUGUGGAAGAGCUCGAGCUUUGACCCUGGAUGCCAGACUUGGCCUACUUCUCACCCUGGCUGACAAGUGGAGCUACCCAGACCUACUCUAGAGAGCCUUUGGAUCUGGUUCUCAGGGGACCCCAGGGUCCAAGAUAGAGCAGGGCUGGACGCCCCCACGCCUCCAACAUAGCUGUUUUUUUCUGACUGGAGACAGAUCAGGGUCUGAGCACUUUUAUCUACCCUCACAAAGCUGCUGCUGCUGCUAAGUCACUUCAGUCGUGUCCGACUCUGUGCGACCCCAGAGAUGUGAGCCCACCAGGCUCCCCCGUCCCUGGGAUUCUCCAGGCAAGAACACUGGAGUGGGUUGCCAUUGCCUCACAAAACUAGAGCCCAUUUAUUCAUUUGUUCACACCCCUACCUGUGUGUGCCUCAUUCAUUCCUGGCCAUGCAAUGAAACAACUAGGAUUCUAAACACUGGAUCCAGGACCUGGGGGAUAAGACCUUUAAAUCCAGGCAUCCUCAGAAAUCCUCAGAUUUGUGUGUGUUUCUGGAGAAGGAGCUCAUGGCUGUUUUUCAGAUUCUCAACUGUGUUCAUCAUCCAAAGCAGGUUAAGAAACACUGGCUGGAGUGCAGGGACAGAAAGCUGACCCCCACCCCUACUCCAAACUCAGGGAAAGGCACUUGGAACAGCCACUCUGGAG
ensembl:lncRNA